UCCCCACCGCCAGUCUCCACCUCUCCCUUCACCGCUCACCAGAUCGACGCCCUCCGCGUUCCCUCUCGCUGGCCUCUGUGCCCUGUGCACACCCCCUAUGCUUCGGCUCCACUCGGAUGCUCCUGAUGUCGACGCGUACGUCCACGGCGUCGGUGGAGCUAACGACUACUCCGUGCUCACUGCUCCUAUUCGGUGCAGGAGGCUGUGGCAUCAGAUCCCACCCUCCUUGCCUGUCGCUGCUCGUGGCUCGCUUCACGGUCAGGAAUCCCCUUUCCCAUCCCCUUCGCGCGCACGACACAUGUCAUCCUCACUGCCUCCGCCAUGAUGGCCACCAACAGCGCCGCCCCCGCCACCGCGCCGAAGAGGGGUGCCUUCACCGUCUUCCUCUCCGGUGGAUCCUUCAUCCAGGCCCACAGGAAGCUGGGGUAGCCGCCAUACUCGGAGAAAGUGGACUAGAGCAAGUUGCCGGCGAUCUGGGUUGGCGAGAUGGUCGUCCCCAAGAACCAUGUGGAUAGUAACCACAAGCUCGGCCCUAGAUGGGUUGCUCUACAAGGAAAUACAUGUGGUGCACACAUGUUGGUCUGGACUGGAAUUAGAUGAAGUAAAAUAGGGGUCAUGGAAGAUUGCAAAGGGUCCAAUAAGUGGGGCAAGUGCCCUCUCAGAUAAUGCAGGAAUUGCAUUCGUAACAGGCAAAAUAAUCUCCUCUCUACUUUUUCGUAGAGCAUGUGGUAGGCAAUCAUGUUUGGGUUUGUUUGUUGAUGUUCUCUUUGUUUAAUAGGUACCCUUUGAUUGCGGAUGAGGUGUUGAAGAAGGAGGCAUGUAAAUGCCCCAAAUGUAGGAAGGACUGCAACUGCAGCGUGGGCUAGUGAGCAAUCUGAAGCUGAUGCUUGCCACGGGGGAUUUCAAAUUUUUGUUCUUGUGAUGGAUCUCUUCAUCUAAUUUUAUUUGGUAGAACAGGGAAAGGGGACGUGCCGAUGGGGAGAAUGGUCUGUGUUGCCAAGAGGCCGAUGGUCAACCUGGUGUGAACUAAGAGAAAUGAUGCUCUCAAGGGUGAAAUAGUUGUACUCAAGGGUAUUCUCGUGGCUUGUCUUGCAGGUAUAGAGCUAUAAUUUGAAGAUGUUGGUGCUCCUAUUCAAUUUCUACAGUUCUGACACACAUUUGGCGAGGUAAUUAUGGAAAGCAAAUAGUAAUAUGUUGUAUGUACCGUUUCGUGUUGCAUUGGGUCAUUGAUGCAUCUAGUCCACAUUUCUAAAUUUUGUUUGCUUUAGCUUGCUAUGGUUACUUAUGUUGUGUGAGAUUGUUGUUGAGCUAAAAAAAUAUUUUGUUUUCUUAUUGCUUCUGUCUUGUUAAUACAAAAUAGAUCAUCGGCUUGAGGGGCAUAUUGAUUUUUAUUUCUCAAUUUAUAAUCUAAGUUUUUUUGUAGUUUAUUUUAUAAUAUGGCACCAAACUUGGUAUAUGUUUCCCUAAAUGAAAAUGUUUAAUUGUUCUUAGCUGCCUACUUGCUUUUAGAGACCUCAUCUUUUGUAUUAUAAAUAGAAUAAUGUACCAAUUGAUGUAAGCAUAUCUACAAAAUAAGGAAGGCGCAACAAGAACAAACUCUUAGAGACUUAACUCAAUUCUAAGAGGUCUCUUCCGUAGUUGCUGACCUUCACAUAAAGGUGUUGUCUCUCAUAGAAAAUGGCAAAGGUAUGUAAGUAUACUCGAAACUACUAUUACCUUGUUGUUUUUCCCAUCCAUUCAAUAACUCGGUAGAUGAGGUUAUUUUUUUCUUAGCCCUUUCAUGUAUCCAAGACAUGGAGGUGAAUGGAUAAGAAUAUUUAUCUUGGGAAGUUCCUUUUUUGUGUUCAAAUCACUUGGUUGACAUUAAUGACCAUAGGUUUGGUGUUCUGUCAUAGCAAAAUGAGAUAACGGGAAGAUAUAAUGACAUGGCUAAAACAAUGGAAGGAGGAGAAACUGCUAGCAAUGAGGAAGCUAAUAAUAUCCUUUCUCAAAUAAAGGAAGCACAAGAAGUCAAGUAGGCAGAACGGAAUCGUCUUUUCAGUUUUAUUGAUUACAUGGGCAAAAUAACAAGGAAAUAGCAAUUUGGAGUAUACUUACAUAUCUUUGCAAUUUUCUAUGACGGACAACAACUUUAUGUGAAGUCUGAAACAACUGAAGACACCUCUUCAAGUUGAGUUAAGUCUUUGAGAGUUUGUUAUAGUUGCCCCUUCCUUAUUUUGCAGAUCUACUUACAUCAUUUGGUAAAUUAUUCUAUUUAUAAUACAGAAGGAAAGGUCUCUAAAAGCGAGUAGGCAACUAAGAACAGUUAAACUUUUUCAUUUAUGGAAACAUAUACUAAGUUUGGUACCAGAUUAUAAAAUAAACUGUAAAUAAACUUUUGUUAGAUUAUAAAGCUAGAAAUCAUAAAAAAUAUGCCCCUCAAGUUGAUGAUCUAUUUUGUGUUAACAAGACAGAAGUAAUAAGAAAACAACAUAUUUUUUAGCUCGACAACAUUCUCAGAGAACCUAACUAACCAUAACUAGCUAAAGCAAACCAGAUUUAGAAAUGAGGAGUAGAUGUAUCAAUUAUCCAAUGCAACACAAAAUGGUAAGUAAAACAUAUUACUAUUUGAUUUCCAUAAUUACCAUGUCAAAUGAGUGACAAAACUCUAGAAAUUGAAUAGGAGCACCAACAUCUCAAACUGCUGCUCUAUCCUUGCAAGGUAAGUCAUGAGAGUACCCCUUGGUACAACUAUUUCAUCCUUGAUAGCAUCAUUGUUCUUAGUUCGCACUAGGUUAACCUUCGGCCUCUUGGUAGCACUGGUACAGCGACGUGCUAAACAAACUGUUUUUAACCCCUUUCCGCGACGGCAUUUGGAAUCGUCGCCAAGUGAGUGUGUGCGAUAGGG